rnacentral:rRNA from 1 species
AGUGAACGCUGGCGGUAGGCCUAACACAUGCAAGUCGAACGGCAGCACAGUAAGAGCUUGCUCUUACGGGUGGCGAGUGGCGGACGGGUGAGGAAUACAUCGGAAUCUACUUUUUCGUGGGGGAUAACGUAGGGAAACUUACGCUAAUACCGCAUACGACCUACGGGUGAAAGCAGGGGACCUUCGGACCUUGCGCGAUUGAAUGAGCCGAUGUCGGAUCAGCUAGUUGGCGGGGUAAAGGCCCACCAAGGCGACGAUCCGUAGCUGGUCUGAGAGGAUGAUCAGCCACACUGGAACUGAGACACGGUCCAGACUCCUACGGGAGGCAGCAGUGGGGAAUAUUGGACAAUGGGCGCAAGCCUGAUCCAGCCAUACCGCGUGGGUGAAGAAGGCCUUCGGGUUGUAAAGCCCUUUUGUUGGGAAAGAAAAGCAGCAGGUUAAUACCCCGCUGUUCUGACGGUACCCAAAGAAUAAGCACCGGCUAACUUCGUG